rnacentral:tRNA from 1 species
GGCCGGAUGGCAGAGGGGUUAUGCAGCGGACUGCAAAUCCGCGUACGUCGGUUCGAGUCCGGCUCCGGCCU